rnacentral:rRNA from 1 species
UACGUAGGGCGCGAGCGUUGUCCGGAUUUAUUGGGCGUAAAGAGCUCGUAGGCGGCUUGUCGCGUCGUCUGUGAAAUCCCGCGGCUCAACUGCGGGCUGGCAGUCGAUACGGGCAGGCUGGAGUUCGGUAGGGGAGACUGGAAUUCCUGGUGUAGCGGUGAAAUGCGCAGAUAUCAGGAGGAACACCGGUGGCGAAGGCGGGUCUCUGGGCCGAUACUGACGCUGAGGAGCGAAAGCGUGGGGAGCGAACAGG